GUCUAUGGUGGCCGGUGAAGUUCAUUUCGCGUUUUCGCGAUUUCGCCUUUUAUAUUCUAUAGGGCGAAAACGCGAAAUCGCGAAAAGGCGCAAUCGAGAAUUGGAAAACGCGAAGUCGAAAACGAGAAAUCGGUUUCGCGUUUUCGACUUCGCAAUUUCGCGUUUUCGCCAUAUAGAAUAUGUAAGGCGAAAACGCUAAAGCGCUAAAACGCAAAAUGGCAUUAACCUGCCACCAUAGUUGUCCGCAUGUAAACUUCUAGAAUUUGUCACCAAUAUAAGUACAUCGCAAUCCGUUACUGUUUCAACAGCCAUCGGUGUUUCAUGUGUGUAUUCUUAAACAAGUAUUAUUUUUCUCUCGUUUUUAGCAAUGUAUCACUCUCUACUGUCCUUAUAUAUUAUUCUAUAUUCUGUGUUUCCAUCCAGAUUCUCGUGUAUCCGGAUUGGGGGUAUUGUUUAUUUCUGUAUUCUUUAAAUUGUUAUGCCAUUUUUUUCUACAUUUUAUUUAUCUUACUCAUUAUUCUUU
rnacentral:lncRNA from 1 species